rnacentral:rRNA from 1 species
CGCCAGUUAUCGUGGAGUCGUUGUUGAAAUACCACCCUUUAACGUUUGAUGUUCUAACGAAGUGCCUGAAACGGGUACUCGGACAGUGUCUGGUGGGUAGUUUGACUGGGGCGGUCUCCUCCCAAAGUGUAACGGAGGAGCACGAAGGUUUGCUAAUGACGGUCGGACAUCGUCAGGUUAGUGCAAUGGUAUAAGCAAGCUUAAC